rnacentral:rRNA from 1 species
AUUGAACGCUGGCGGCAGGCCUAACACAUGCAAGUCGAGCGAGCGGCGGACGGGUGGGUAAUGUAUGGGGAGUGCCUGAUCGAGGGGGAUAAGUGGUGGAAACGGUGGCUAAUACCGCAUACUAUCGGAUGGCCCAUGUGGGAUUAGCUAGUAGGGGGGGUAAAGGCUCACCUAGGCGACGAUGUCUAGCUGGUCUGAGAGGUUGAUCAGCCACACUGGGACUGAGACACGGCCCAGACUCCUACGGAGGCAGCAGUGGGGAAUAUUGCACAAUGGGCGCAAGCCUGACGCAGCCACGCCGCGUGUAUGAAGAAGGUUUUCGGGUCGUAAAGCACUUUCAUUGGGGAGGCGUUACCUGCAGAAGAAGCACCGGCUAACUACGUGCCAGCAGCCGCGGUAAUAC